AAUAGACUGCUACAAAUCGAGGACCUCCUCCUUUUUUCAAAUUGGCUAAAAAUCUAUAUAAUAUUACAAAUGUUUCAACCAAAACUAUAUCCUAAUUUUGCAGUUUGCGUGCGUGUCGGAAUAAAUUCGUGCUACGUAAGAUGGCGGCGGCCGUCAUUUAAUCGGCUCGAGUGUUGAUGGUCACUGGGUUUGCAGGCUGAAUCUAUCGGGGAUGGGCCUAUGAGGUGUUAAGGUAUUCGCUUUAAACAACCCUCAAAUGAAACCUAAGACGAGGGUCAGCCAUCUUAAUCUAAAGACAGGAAAUAACCAGUUCCGAGCGGCCCCAACCGGACAUUUCUGGAUUUUUCCGGAUCCCGGGCGGGGUAAUGUGAAGGGCACGUUAUCAGGAAUGUUUUUCUGCAAGAUGCCCAGUUCUCCAGUAGCUGUUAGGUUUAUGUAGCGGAAAAAGUAUUAAUGCCGCUGAUAAGUUGCCUUCCUGUUAACUUCGAGAGCUCUUUGCGAAACUUCUGCUUUGUUAAGAUAAUAAACCAUGUCAAAGGCCUUCCAAAGGGAAGAGAAUAAAGAAAAAAGCGGUCUUUGGAUAUUGAAGCUCUAUGGCGGCGGUAAUAACCGGGAAAAUGCGAGUGUGUACCAAAUCAAUAGAAACAAUAAAAUCACGAACACCUUUAUUUAUCAAAGCAAAUCUUACAAGCAAUAAAAGAAGUCUAAUUCGAUGCAAACACAUUAACAUCAUUAAUUCAGGCGCACACGCUCGUAAUUAAAUAUUGAAAUGAGUAGGAAUGAGUUUUAAUUACACUGACUGCGGUCGCCGGAGAGGUCGUGGUGGAGGCUCACGUAGCUCAAGGAGUGAGCAAAGAAAUAAAACCGGUCCCUUUUUUUCUUGAUUUGACUUUUCACAUGUAAAAAAUUUCAUGAAAAGCACAAUAAUGAAGACAUCAAGAGGUAAGAUAAUUUAAUUUUAUAAAAUCCCAUAAAAAUAAGUAAUUCUCCAGGAUAUAGAUUAAUAAUUCCAACCAUAGUGAUAUUUUUAAUUAUCUUA